rnacentral:rRNA from 1 species
AGAGUUUGAUCAUGGCUCAGGACAACGCUGGCGGCGUGCUUUAGACAUGCAAGUCGAACGAGAUCUUCGGAUCUAGUGGCGAACGGCGGAGUAAUACAUAAACAACGUGCCCUGAAGACUGGGAUAUACGGUCGAAAGGCCGAGCAAUACCGGAUGUGGCCGAGACUAGGCAUCUAGACUCGAUUAAAUGGUUUUUCGCUUCAGGAGCGGUUUAUGACUCAUCAGCUAGUUGGUAGGGUAAUGGCCUACCAAGGCUACGACGGGUAGGGGGUCUGAGAGGAUGAUCCCCCCGAGUGGGACUGAGACACGGCCCACACACCUACGGGUGGCAGCAGUUUGGAAUCUUGCCCAAUGGGGGAAACCCUGAGGCAGCGACGCCGCGUGGAGGAUGAAGGAUUUAGGUCUGUAAACUCCUUUUGCCAGGAAAGACUUAGGACGGUACCUGGCGAAUAAGCUCCGGCUAACUACGUG